UGUUUGAUUGCCCUGAUUGAACUCUUCACACAUGUUCCAGUUCUGCGGAACUUUGUCGAGCACCUGAAACGGAAAAUUUUCAACGUUUGCGCUGUUUACCUUCUUGAUUCACAGUUUGUCAGCGAUGUAACAAAAUACAUCAGUGGUUGCAUGGCUUCUCUAUCUGCUAUGAUUCAGCUUGAACUUCCUCAUAUCAACAUCCUUUCAAAGAUGGAUCUGGUCUCCAACAAAAAAGAUGUAGAA